AUUAGGAAAAGUUUCUCCAGUUCAUCGUCUGUGUUACUUCAACAUACCUGAUGUGGAGAAGAGACUUGAGCCACAGUUUCUUACAUCGAAGGCAGGAUUUCAGGACAAUGUUUGCAACUUCUAUGAACAUCGAUGGCAACAUUUUUCCAUGGGAGCUACGAGUCUAUAUGCUAGUGUAUAACUGAAUCCCUCACAAUUUGCACACGCACAGUCUACCUUACCAAAUGUAACACAGGUAUCAUGCAUAAUCAACAAGCACGCUUCUUCCAAGCAUGAGUGACUGGUGCCUACUGAAUCUGGAGGGGGGAACCCACAGAAGCCAUCAACCACGGUGGCCCUGUUGGGGGGGGCACCAGCCCUACUGACAGCAUCAGUGUCGGCCACUGGGGGGGCACCGG
rnacentral:lncRNA from 1 species